UGUCCUCGGGGGAUAGAUUCGAAUCCGG
rnacentral:sRNA from 1 species